UACGUAGGGACCAAGCGUUGUUCGGAUUUACUGGGCGUAAAGGGCGCGUAGGCGGCAAUUCAAGUCAUCUGUGAAAUCUCCGGGCUUAACUCGGAACGGUCAGAUGAUACUGCUUUGCUAGAGUGCGGAAGGGGCAAUCGGAAUUCUCGGUGUAGCGGUGAAAUGCGUGGAUAUCGAGAGGAACACCAGAGGUGAAGACGGGUUGCUGGGCCGACACUGACGCUGAGGCGCGAAAGCCAGGGGAGCAAACGGG
rnacentral:rRNA from 1 species